rnacentral:rRNA from 1 species
CCUACGGGAGGCAGCAGUGGGGAAUUUUGCGCAAUGGGGGAAACCCUGACGCAGCAACGCCGCGUGGAGGAUGAAAUCCCUUGGGAUGUAAACUCCUUUCGAUAGGGAAGAUAAUGACGGUACCUAUAGAAGAAGCCCCGGCUAACAUCGUGCCAGCAGCCGCGGUAAU